rnacentral:rRNA from 1 species
CAGCCGCCGCGGUAAAACGGAGGGUGCAAGCGUUAUCCGGAUUUAUUGGGUUUAAAGGGUCCGUAGGCGGACUUAUAAGUCAGUGGUGAAAGCCUGUCGCUUAACGAUAGAACUGCCAUUGAUACUGUAAGUCUUGAGUAUAUUUGAGGUAGCUGGAAUAAGUAGUGUAGCGGUGAAAUGCAUAGAUAUUACUUAGAACACCAAUUGCGAAGGCAGGUUACCAAGAUAUAACUGACGCUGAGGGACGAAAGCGUGGGUAGCGAACAGGAUUAGAUACCCCGGUAGUCCCUGUCUCUUAUAC